ensembl:lncRNA
GUGCGUGGGUAGGUAGGAGUGGCUUGUAUAUGUAUUAUGUAUGCGCUAGAUGGUGGAUAGGACAUCUGUCCCGUCUACUAUGGUAAAACGCCACACGAGGACGGUAAAGCUGGUCUAACUAGCCUGAGCGCAGUGUACCUUAACAGUAGGCUAUUACCAAAGGGGCGCUGUGUCCCGCGGGCUCAGAACGCCUCCCAGUGGUCGCACAUGGGAACUGCACGAGGGCUACCGCAGUCAUUUAUCAAUUCAGUGGGGCAACACAACAGGCCGACAUAAAGUUAUUUAUUACAGUGCAAUAGCUUAUCCAGGAGUUGGCCUAAAGUCACAAAAAGUCUUAACAUCAGUGAUAUUUUGUUUGAUUUGCUGUAUCACAAUUGUGUAGGAUGUGUUGGGUCAAAGAAUCAACGGUUCAGCAAAACUUUUUAUUAUAUUUUUUUUUUAAUUUACAAUGUAUAAAUAUGAGUCUAAAGACUACAAAGUCCAUGAAAAUACAGAGUUAAAUCUUUGAGCUUCAUCGCCAUUCACAAGUCUUGAAGAAAAUGCAAGCAAGAUAAGGGCAUGGCACACAAGGUCUAUUAAAUUACAUUUUUGAAAAUCAAAAGUUCAAGUCAUCUGUUUUACUCUCAAAACAUCAAUGUAGCAAUUCACAAAACACUGAUUCUAACACUAUUCUGUCACAUCAUGCCGUCGGUCACCUUAAAUUCACCCAAUCACUGAAAUCUCAUUGCAUCUUCACACUUGAACAAAUGUCGAAGAGUAAAAAUAAUAAAACAAAUCUAUUCCUAUAUAACUGGCUCUACUCUAAGCAUCUAAGCAGUGUGGCCGAAUGGAUAACUAACCCAGUAAGUCCAACUUUAAAAUAAAAUCCAUCACUUUUGAUUAAAUCAUUGGAAGACUUCAAGUGUUAAAGAGUAGAUAAAACUGCGCUUAGUGAGACAUAGAGCUGUGUUAUGCUAAACAUCCCUCUCCAGAGGAUAACACACGCACACACACGCGCACGCGCGCGGUCUGCUCUGCAGUGGAGCCCGUUCAACCGUUUAGCAGAGUGACAGCGCGCGCAGACACAAUGCACAGCGGGCUCACGAGGCGCUAACAAAGCUGACAGAAACCAUUAGCGAUCUCAUUUACCAAAGACCGGUACAUCGAGACCAGUGCAAAAUUACAAAUCCACCUGCACUCACUAUUCAAUCACACGGGUAAAUCUGUUACCCUGCUGCCUUAGGAGGACAGAGCACAACUAAAGAAAGGCUGAGGAGGCGCCAACAGGCUGAGGACAACGUCAAUGUCUGGCGCAACACAACUGGGGAAUCUUAUGCAACAGAACUAGAGACAAUGCUGUUUAGUCUUCACGUGUUCUAAUCGUAUCACUUGACAUAACGAGCUGAAUGGUCAUAUUGCAACAAUGCAAGACCAACAUGGCUUCAGUUCACAGAUGGCGGUGAGGCUUGCUUUGCCAGUUAAACCACGUAUCUUAUCACAACAAAGACAUUUCAGAAUAGUAAAACCACAAAUCAACUUGAACGUGAAAUGGCUGCCACAUAAACAAACCAACCAACCAAAAAAGAGACAGAACACAUAAAUAAACAUGCUUUAAACACCUACAACACCACAGCACAGGGGCAGCGUGUCCAAGUGUCUGUUGAACACUGAUGAACAUGUCUAGCACACAUCUUGGCGCAGAACAGGCUGCCAAUCAGGAACAGUUGGUGAGUCCUCUGGUGGCGCCCAGCCCCAGCUCUUGGCAUUAUGGGAUGUUGGCUGUGGAAGUUAACAACCUCACUGACUGACUGCCUGCAUCACAGCCAGCUCUCCGUGCUGAUCGGGAUCCCGGGGCCACAGAGGGGCAUUUAAUCGGUCUUGCCCCAGCCUGCUCGAGGGGGGGGGGGGGGGGGCAGUCAGCCUUGAGGUUGGGGCUGGCAGACACACAGAGAUGUCUGCUCCUGAUGCCAGGGUCGGGGCUCGGGGGGUUAGGCACAGGGCUUGCCAGCCUGCAUUCAUAAAGAGCUUUCUCAGGGAUGAUCUUACAGAGCAGCAUAGCUCUCUCUCUGCCCGGGGGCUAACGCUCUUUCAACUCCAGCAGGAAUGUUUCAUGAUAAAACAUUUUAAACUGGGGUAUGAGUGCCAACACCAGUCAACGGUAUCUGCUAUGGCCCACUAUGGGGAGUGCCCAGUGAGAGAGUAAUGGUAUGGCCCACAUAUGGGGAGUGCCCAGUGAGACAGUAAUGGUAUGGCCCACUAUGGGGAGUGCCCAGUCAGACAGUAAUGGUAUGGCCCACUAUGGGGAUGCCCAGUCAGACAGUAAUGGUAUGGCCCACUAUGGGGAUACCCAGUCAGACAGUAAUGGUAUGGCCCACUAUGGGGAGUGCCCAGUCAGACAGUAAUGGUAUGGCCCACUCUGGGAGUGCCCAGUCAGAGAGUUAUAAGGGCACUUAUUUGGCGCAAAUGUCUGCCAGAUAACCUUUAUCCUUAUCAGCAGUGAAGACAAGCAACACCGUGGUCUUAAACUCAGACUCAACGAAUGUACUGACAGCGACUCAACAGAACUCAGAGCAAGGGACACUCAAACAGACUGAUACCACUGGGUCCAAUCAUACAUCAUGCAGUUGCAUUCUGGGAGCUCUGUGGGGACAGAUAUAAUUAAACUGGAGCGAAGCAUGGGCAGUGAAAACACACAAAUAAACAAACAACAAACAAUAAACAAAUCCCUUAUACUUGAUCCUUUCAGGACAGGAGUGACUGGUAACAUGAACCAUCAAAAAAACAAAUGAAAUGACUGCAACCAGUAUAGCUUCACAUUCAGAGGUUAAUGACAUCUUGGAGUGUGUAAACGACUGCAAUCCCAGCUCUCACGGCUGCCGUUUGUUUUCAUUUCACAUCUUAAUGAGGCAAUCUGUCAGAGAAAUAAUCGCUCGCUGAAACACGCAUCCCACCAGAUCAGACUGGCGCUAACGCAACUCCUGAUUGGCUCAUCGACCUGAGCUCUCCUUAUUGUCCAAUCAGGGCUAUUGACCUUGGAGAGCAUGAUUAAAGUAAUGUGUUUCCCAAUAGUACAGUGCAUCCUGUGUUUAUUGUUUAUCAUUUUCUAGCACUGUGAAAUGUAAACAAACAAUGAAAUAAAACAGGAACAUGCAGACAAUGCACAGCGACAACAGAGUAACUUAAAAAAUAAAAUAAAAGCCCCUUGUGAAUGAGAUCAUUGCUGUGGAAGACCACCUACUGCAGGGGUGAGGCUGACACACACACACACACACACACACACACACACACACACACACAGGGGCUGUUGGUUAAGAGUCUCGGUAUGAGGCUCUAGCUAUGACGGCAGAGUUGUACACUCUCUUGAAUAGGCUUGUUUCCAAAUGGCUCUUCAAACAACAACAACAACAACAACAAAAAAACAAUCAAACAAAACCAUCCUAGAAUCUAUCUACAAACACUUCCUGCAAUUAAAAAAAAAAACUAAUAUGGCACAUCUGAUUUCAUAUUAACUGCACAUUUUACAUUCUAUUCACAACUGAACUGAUUUGUACAGAAAUAGGCACGCAUACUACAUUUAAUUUCAAAUAAAAUCAUAUCGAAUCACAGUUCAGUACAUUGUAGAAAAAGAACUGACCAUUACAGAGACUCUAUGGUAGAAAUGGCAUAGCAGGUUGAAGUCAAUCAGGUCCCCCUUGAAAUGUACUGCAGUCUCUCUUUCUGUCUACCACAGAGUGUGUGUGUGUGUGUACUACCACGGAAGAGUGUGUUUGUGUGUGUGUGUAGUACUACCACGGACAAGUGUGUUUGUGUGUGUGUGUGUACUACCACGGACGAGUGUGUGUGUACUACCACAGACGAGUGUGUGAUGUGUGUUUGUACAACCACGGACGAGUGUGUGUGUGUGUGUGUUUGUACUACCACAGACGAGUGUGUGUGUGCGUUUGUACUAGCACGGACGAGUGUGUUUGUGUGUGUGUGUGUGUGUGUGUACUACCACGGACGAGGGUGUGUGUACUACCACGGACGAGUGUGUGUGUGAUGUGUGUUUGUACAACCACGGACGAGUGUGUGUGUGUUUGUACUACCACAGACGAGUGUGUGUGUGCGUUUGUACUAGCACGGACGAGUUGGUGUUCUAAAAGUCAUGCAAUGAUGAUCAAUAUCGUUACAUUAAUGGGAGCUGAUUAUACUGUAUGUUUACCGAUGAUGUAAUCAAACUUUACAUUAAUGGGAGCUGAUUACAUGUUCAGAUUGAGCAGAUGUAAUAAUUGCAUCAUUGGGGAAGUAUUAUUUAGCAUGUAUUUUUUUCUUCAAGUGGCUGAUGUAAUAUGGUUGUCUAGUGAUGAAAGACUAUUUUCUUUUCCAUUCUGUAUUCUGCAUGUUGUGCGUCAAUGAGUCCUGCCCUGCCAUCGCCCCCCCCCCCCCUCCAUCGCCAAGGGAACCAGGGUCAUGAGUCCUGCCCUGCCAUCGCCA